rnacentral:rRNA from 1 species
GGAUCCAGACUUUGAUCAUGGCUCAUGAUGAACGCUAGCGACAGGCUUAACACAUGCAAGUCGAGGGGCAGCACAGGUAGCAAUACCGGGUGGCGACCGGCGCACGGGUGAGUAACGCGUAUGCAACUUGCCUAUCAGAGGGGGAUAACCCGGCGAAAGUCGGACUAAUACCGCAUGAAGCAGGGGCCCCGCAUGGGGAUAUUUGCUAAAGAUUCAUCGCUGAUAGAUAGGCAUGCGUUCCAUUAGGCAGUUGGCGGGGUAACGGCCCACCAAACCGACGAUGGAUAGGGGUUCUGAGAGGAAGGUCCCCCACAUUGGUACUGAGACACGGACCAAACUCCUACGGGAGGCAGCAGUGAGGAAUAUUGGUCAAUGGGCGUAAGCCUGAACCAGCCAAGUCGCGUGAGGGAUGAAGGUUCUAUGGAUCGUAAACCUCUUUUAUAAGGGAAUAAAGUGUGGGACGUGUCCUAUUUUGUAUGUACCUUAUGAAUAAGGAUCGGCUAACUCCGUGCCAGCAGCCGCGGUAAUACGGAGGAUCCGAGCGUUAUCCGGAUUUAUUGGGUUUAAAGGGUGCGUAGGUGGUCUUUUAAGUCAGCGGUGAAAGUCUGUGGCUCAACCAUAGAAUUGCCGUUGAAACUGGGGGACUUGAGUAUGUUUGAGGUAGGCGGAAUGCGUGGUGUAGCGGUGAAAUGCUUAGAUAUCACGCAGAACCCCGAUUGCGAAGGCAGCCUGCCAAGCCAUCACUGACACUGAUGCACGAAAGCGUGGGGAUCAAACAGGAUUAGAUACCCUGGUAGUCCACGCAGUAAACGAUGAUCACUAGCUGUUUGCGAUACACGGUAAGCGGCACAGCGAAAGCGUUAAGUGAUCCACCUGGGGAGUACGCCGGCAACGGUGCAACUCAAAUGAAUUGACGG